rnacentral:lncRNA from 1 species
AGGGGAAUGGCGUUUGACAGCGGCUUUGGCAGACGGCUUUUGGUUCUUAAUUGAUGCUGGCAGGCUAAAUUGUAAAAGGGAACACACUUCCAGGGAGGGGGGCAGACGCAUUGAUAAAAAAGAGUUCAAGGAAAAUGGAGUUAGAGGAGAUAGACGCAUUCAGAAAGAUCAUCAUCAUUCACUCACACACUACUCUCAAUUCCUCGAGUCACUCUCUCUACUCACUCAACAGAGACACCUCCUCAGAAACUCGUUUCCUCCAUCAGGGCACAUCACAGGAACCCACCAUUCCCC